UACGUAGGGUGCAAGCGUUGUCCGGAAUUAUUGGGCGUAAAGAGCUCGUAGGCGGUCUGUCGCGUCGAAUGUGAAAAUCCGAGGCUCAACCUCGGACCUGCAUUCGAUACGGGCAGACUAGAGUUCGGUAGGGGAGUCUGGAAUUCCUGGUGUAGCGGUGAAAUGCGCAGAUAUCAGGAGGAACACCGGUGGCGAAGGCGGGACUCUGGGCCGAUACUGACGCUGGAGGAGCGAAAGCGUGGGGAGCAAACAGG
rnacentral:rRNA from 1 species